UGGGGAAUAUUGCGCAAUGGGCGAAAGCCUGACGCAGCGACGCCGCGUGGGGGAUGAAGGCCUUCGGGUUGUAAACCCCUUUCAGCAGGGACGAAGCGAGAGUGACGGUACCUGCAGAAGAAGCGCCGGCUAACUACGUGCCAGCAGCCGCGGUAACACGUAGGGCGCAAGCGUUGUCCGGAAUUAUUGGGCGUAAAGAGCUCGUAGGUGGUUUGUUACGUCUGCUGUGAAAACCUAGGGCUUAACCCUGGGCUUGCAGUGGAUACGGGCAGACUAGAGGUAGGUAGGGGAGAAUGGAAUUCCUGGUGUAGCGGUGAAAUGCGCAGAUAUCAGGAGGAACACCGGUGGCGAAGGCGGUUCUCUGGGCCUUACCUGACACUGAGGAGCGAAAGCGUGGGGAGCGAACA
rnacentral:rRNA from 1 species